rnacentral:tRNA from 1 species
ACUAUUUUGUCAGAUAACAUGUACUAGACUUAGGAUCUAGCUAAAUAGAAUUAAUUUCUAUAAAUAGUA